CUAACAAUUCUGGCAAGAUACUCUAUCCAGGUACAGCACAAAGUGAGUGAGAGCCAGCUUUCUGUACACUGUCCUGCCAAGAAACCAUCACUCUGAUCUGGAGAAAGGAACCUCUAGGCAUGACAGGAGAGUUGGCUCUCCAUAAUCCAUUCAGCCCUCAGCUUUU
rnacentral:sRNA from 1 species